UACGUAGGGGGCAAGCGUUGUCCGGAAUUAUUGGGCGUAAAGCGCGCGUAGGCGGUUAGAUAAGUUGGAUGUGAAAGGCUACGGCUCAACCGUAGAGCGGCAUCCAAAACUGUUUAACUUGAGUGCAGCAGAGGAGAGUGGAAUUCCCGGUGUAGCGGUGGAAUGCGUAGAGAUCGGGAGGAACACCAGUGGCGAAGGCGACUCUCUGGGCUGUAACUGACGCUGAGGUGCGAAAGCGUGGGGAGCGAACAGGAUUAGAUACCCUGGUAGUCCACGCCGUAAACGAUGAGUGCUAGGUGUUGGAGGGUCCACCCUUCAGUGCCGAAGGAAACCCAGUAAGCACUCCGCCUGGGGAGUACGGCCGCAAGGCUGAA
rnacentral:rRNA from 1 species